UGUGUGUGUGUGUGUGUUUGCUCAACUGGUGGACAAAGGCAUGAAAGACAGGUGCAAAAAUAAAUCCUCUUUUGCAACCCAGAACUCAUUGUUCAGUAUGAGUUUUGAUACAAGAAGAAAUAUG
rnacentral:snoRNA from 1 species